rnacentral:lncRNA from 10 species
CUUCCUCUGGUGGAGCUGGAACAUAGGGAAGUUCUCUGGGGAAGCAGGAUGACUCUAUGCCUGGGAAGGUGAGAAGAGGAGGUGAGAAGGCAGUUUGCAUCCAGGAGGUGAAGACCUUGAGUCCCAGUUCUGGAGGCUACAAGAUGGAAUCAAGGUGUCAGCAAGGUUGCCCUUCCUCCGAAGACUCUACAGAAGAAUCUUCUAGCUUCUGCUGGCAGCUGGUGACCCCUGGCAAUCCUUGGAUUGUGACAGGAUCACUUUAAUCUCACGCCUUGCCUUCACUUGGAUUUUUUCCCUGUUUGUAUGUCUGUAUAAAUGUUCCUCUCCUUAUAAGGACACCAGUCAUGGGAUUAGGGGCUUAUCCUAAUCCAGGAUGACAUCAUUUUAACUUGAUUACCUCUCAAAGACCUUAUUUCUUUUUCUUUUUCUUUUUUCUUUUCUUUUCUUUUUUCUUUUUUUUUUUUUUUUUUUUGCAAUGGAGUCUUGCUCCGUCGCCCAGGCUGGAGGGCAGUGGCACGAUCUUGGCUCACUGCAACCUCUGACUCCCUGGUUCAAGUGAUUCUCCUGCCUCAGCCUCCCAAGUAGCUGGUAUUACAGGCGUGCACCACCAUGCCCAGCUAAUUUUUGUAUUUUUGGUAGAGAUGGGGUUUCACCACGUUGGCCAGGAUGGUCUCAAUUUCCUGACAUUGUGAUCCGCCCCCUUGGCCUCCCAAAGUGCUGGGAUUACAGGUGCGAGCCACCAGGCCCGGCCAACCUUAUUUUUAAAUAGGGCACCUUUGCAGGUUCCAAGUGGACAUGAAUUUUUAGGGAAAUGUUAUUUGAGUACAGACAGAUAAUAUAUCUCAUGUCUCAAUUACAUUUGGAGCUAUUUGACUUUUAUAUUUAGCAUGAAACUUGGUGUGGCAUAGUAGGUAGUUGAUCUUUGAUAGAUACAAUGUUGCAAAAUGAUGGCCUUUGUGGGUUUAUUGUGGAGGCAACAGCUGAGGCAAGGGAAUUAGGGAAAAAAAGAGAGGCAGAAAGAAAUAUUUCUUCAUGUCAUCUCUCCCUUGGCUCAGCGGAGAAUCUAGU